rnacentral:rRNA from 1 species
UGGGGAAUCUUGCACAAUGGGGGAAACCCUGAUGCAGCGACGCCGCGUGAGCGAUGAAGCCCUUCGGGGUGUAAAGCUCUUUCGGCAGGAACGAUAAUGACGGUACCUGAAGAAGAAGCUGCGGCUAACUACGUGCCAGCAGCCGCGGUAAUACGUAGGCAGCGAGCGUUGUUCGGAGUUACUGGGCGUAAAGGGUGCGUAGGCGGUUUUCCAAGUUUGGUGUGAAAUCUCCCGGCUUAACUGGGAGGGUGCGCCGAAAACUAGGAGACUUGAGUACCGGAGAGGUAAGCGGAAUUCCUGGUGUAGCGGUGAAAUGCGUAGAGAUCAGGAGGAACACCUGUGGUGUAGACAGCUUACUGGACGGUCACUGACGCUGAGGCACGAAAGCGUGGGUAGCAAACAG